CUCCGCCCUUCCUCUGCCCUUCCCCGUAGGCUCCCUCUCCCCUAUCUUGUCUUUGUCUCCUUCCCUCUUUCCUCCUCCUCUGCUUUUCUCUUUUUUCCCUUUCUUCCCUUCCUCACCCCAUUCCCUAUCCCUCUCCACAUUUCUGUGUCUUCCAGUCUGUUUCCCCCUUUUUCUCGUCUCCUUGCUCCCUCUCUUUCUCUGAGUCUGCCUGCUUUCUCCUCUUUCCCAUCUACCUCCUCUUAUGCUCACCAGGAUUCCUCUCUAGGCUGCCCACCAGGUCCCCUGGAGCAUUCACAAGACUGCUGGAUUGACCACCUGAUCCCCGUGCGCCCAGGCAAGGUGGUCUACGGAGGGCCACAGGGCCACGCGCGGUCACCACACCACAGCUUCCUGCAUGGCCUGAUCUCUCAGGGUGAGAUUGACUGCUCUGAUAAUGCUCCUCUUUUCUUUAACUGCCUGGGAAGCCCAGAGAGUGGGAAGAACCUGACCAGAGAGGGUAUAACACCUGAUCAAAGGGCAAAUCAACUGGCUCCAAUCCCUCCAAGAAGGGACAAGAAAGUGCCAGUGAAAUGUAAUGGGACAGAGAUAAUUUCUUUUUCCAAGACUCCGCUAGGGGAAAGGACACAGGCCUACUUGGGUAAACCACUUGAAGUGGGUGGAGGUGGUGAGACCUUCCAAACAUGUUUUGCUUGAGUAACAGCAGGUAAGCACUGCCCCCUGACCUGGGAAUGUCGAUCAGGUUAAUUGGAGGGGAGGUAGGAAAGUCUGGGCCAGAGCUGACAGCUUGGGCAAGGAAGGUGAGAAGCUGGACCCUGCAGAAUUUUCCAUCUCAGCCUUUCCCUCACAGGGCUCAGUCUUAUCUUUAAAUGGCACAGAAUGUUUGACUGAAGAGGCAUCUAAUUAUCAGGCCCCCAGGAUCCUUGAGACCUGGUCUGGCUAUGUGGCUGCCUCAGUUCCCCAGUCCCCACCACCCCCUUUUCCAGGCCUCCCUUUCUGCAUUUGAAGAAUGUGGGGCUGGACUCCAUGGGUCUCUCAAGGUCCGGCCUGCUGGGUCAAUCUGUGAGUCUGUGCCGUGAUUCACUCUGAAAUCAAGGCUGAGUGAUAGAAUUGGAAGCUCUUCCUGUACAUUUUCUCGAUGGUUCUCUUAGGUUUGUUUAUUCCUCACAGUCUCUCUGAUCCUGGCCUAAAAGAACUGGGCCACAAUCUGAUGAUCAAAACAACUGGUGCAGGACAAUUGCUUUGAUUUGCUGUUGGCUUCAAAUCUGGAUUAAUGGUUGCCUUUCUAAUUAAGCCUCUGAGCACAGGAUUUAAAAACUCACAGGUGUCAGGUCCUUAAAAUGGACCAGCCCCUCCUACUCUGUCUCAAGGCUCCUUUUCUAUUACAUAAAAAAUAUUUUUUAAUAUCCUUUUUACUAUCCUGAAAUUGAAUUCAUAAAUAAUAUAAGCCACUUAUGCACAUGAUUUUAAAAAUCAUUAUAAUGUUCUUAGUACAUUAUAUAGGAGACAUAAGAAGAAUCUAUUACAAAAUACAUAUUUUAAUACAGAAAUGUCUCUGUCUCUCCCUCUCCCUCUC
rnacentral:lncRNA from 1 species